AGUUCUAUUGAAAAUAUUGCAUGUGUUUGCACAAAUAUCAUCAUGAAGCUAGGACGAAGCAUUAUCCUAUUUGUGGUGGCUUUGUUUGUUCUCUUCAGCCUCACCUACGGAUCUGAUGUAGUGCACCCCGACAUGAAUUUUUGUCCCAGAGUUCUAAAGGGAUUGUGUGGUCCCUGUCUCGACAGUUGUUCUUUUAAAACCUGCGAAGAAGAAUUCAAUUCAAGAUAUAAAGGAGCUCAACCUCGGAGUUGUAGAUGUGACACUACUGGCAAUACACACAUGUGUUCAUGUUGGAUACGUUGUGGAUGAUUAAUUAUGUUCCUGAUUGUAAUAAUUAUGGGAAUUUAAUAAUAACCUCACAUCCUAUUUUAUGAGCUGUUA